rnacentral:lncRNA from 1 species
GUAGUGCUUCUAAGGCUCAAGGGACCAAGAAAAAGGCUAAGGUCCAAAGCCCAUGACGCAUUCAUGGGAGUUCUAGGGUUAGUUUGGGCCCUAGGGCUGUCAGCCUUCACAAUUUCGAGGUCCAGGAGAUUUGGACCUCAAGGGGCUAACUAGAGUUGGGCUAGGCUUGAGUCCAAGAGAGAUGAGAUUGGGUCAAGUCAUGGGUGUACAUGGGCUUGGGUGAACACAAUCUCACAUUGGGUU